UACCUGGUUGAUCCUGCCAGUAGUCAUAUGCUUGUCUCAAAGAUUAAGCCAUGCAAGUCUAAGUACGAGCUCUCGUACAGUGAAACUGCGAAUGGCUCAUUAAAUCAGUUAUGGUUCAUUUGAUCGUACAGUUUACUUGGAUAACUGUGGUAAUUCUAGAGCUAAUACAUGCGAGAAGCGCCGACCUCGCGGGAGGCGUGCAUUUAUCAGACCAAAAACCGGCCGCGUCUUCGGGCGCGUUCGCCUUGGUGACUCUGGAUAACUUUGCGGAUCGCACGGUCUAGCACCGGCGACGGAUCAUUCAAGUGUCUGCCCUAUCAACUUUCGUCGGUACGGUAUUUGCCUACCGAGGUUCUUACGGGUGACGGGGAAUCAGGGUUCGAUUCCGGAGAGGGAGCCUGAGAAACGGCUACCACAUCCAAGGAAGGCAGCAGGCGCGCAAAUUACCCAUUCCCGACGCGGGGGAGGUAGUUGACGAAAAAUAACAAUGCAGGACUCGUUCGAGGCCCUGUAAUUGGAAUGAGUACACUUUAAAAGCUUUAACGAGUAUCCAUUGGAGGGCAAGUCUGGUGCCAGCAGCCGCGGUAAUUCCAGCUCCAAAAGUAUAUAUUUAAGUUGUUGCGGUUAAAAAGCUCGUAGUUGGAUUUUGGGCGCAGGCGGCCGGUCCGUCGCAAGGCGUGUACUGGACGUCCUGGCCUUCCCUCCGGUUCUCCGCCGGUGCUCUUGACUGAGUGUCGGCGGCGGCCGGAACGUUUACUUUGAAAAAAUUAGAGUGUUCAAAGCAGGCUCUCGAGCCUGGAUAAUGGUGCAUGGAAUAAUGGAAUAGGACCUCGGUUCUAUUUUGUUGGUUUUCGGAGCGCGAGGUAAUGAUUAAGAGGGACAGACGGUGGCAUUCGUACUGUGCCGUUAGAGGUGAAAUUCUUGGAUCGGCGCAAGACGAACGACUGCGAAAGCAUUUG
rnacentral:ncRNA from 1 species